rnacentral:lncRNA from 1 species
AGGAGCGUCAGAGGAUAUGGGGGAUGAUAUGGAUGUAGAGCAGAGAAGGGAUGGCAGUCUAGGAGUUGGCAUGUCAGAAGAGGGAAUGGGAGAGUCCCAAGGAGGCACUAAGGCCUCGGGAUUUGUACAGCCACCUCACUACCCACACUUCUCACAACACCCCGGGUAUUCGAUGGGAGGUACAUCGGAUUACCCUAGCUUUACCCCUUAUC